ensembl:snRNA U2 U2 spliceosomal RNA
AUCGCUUCUCGGCCUUUUGGCUAAGAUCAAGUGUAGUAUCUGUUCUUAUCAGUUUAAUAUCUGAUAUGUCCUCUAUCAGGGGACAACAUAUUAAAUGGAUUUUUAGCAAUGGGAGUCGAAAAAGGGGCUUGCUCCAUUCACUCCGCGCAUCGACCUGGUAUUGCAGCGCCGCCGGGAACGGUGCACCCUUC